GUUUAAAUAGCUCAGUUGGUAGAGCAAAGGACUGAAAAUCCUUGUGUCGGCAGUUCGAGUCUGCCUUUGAACA
rnacentral:tRNA from 3 species